GUGCUCGCUUCGGCAGCACAUGUAUACUAAAAUUGGAACCAUACAGAGAAGAUUAGUGUGGCCCCUGUGCAAAGAUGACACGCAAAUUCAUGAAGCGUUCCAUAUUUUU
rnacentral:snRNA from 1 species